UGUGAAGACGAGUGUUUGAGAAAACCA
rnacentral:piRNA from 1 species